rnacentral:rRNA from 1 species
AUACGGAGGGUGCAAGCGUUACUCGGAAUCACUGGGCGUGAAGCGCGCGCAGGCGGCUUGAUAAGUUGGAUGUGAAAGCCUACGGCUCAACCGUAGAACUGCAUCCAAAACUGUCAAGCUAGAGUCUGGGAGGGGAAGAUGGAAUUAGUUGUGUAGGGGUAAAAUCCGUAGAGAUAACUAGGAAUACCAAAAGCGAAGGCGAUCUUCUGGAACAGUACUGACGCUCAGGCGCGAAAGCGUGGGGAGCAAACAGGAUUAGAAACCCGAGUAGUCC